rnacentral:rRNA from 1 species
UACGUAGGGUGCGAGCGUUUGUCCGGAAUUAUUGGGCGUAAAGAGCUUGUAGGCGGUUUGUCGCGUCUGCUGUGAAAAUCCGGGGCUCAACCCCGGACUUGCAGUGGGUACGGGCAGACUAGAGUGUGGUAGGGGAGACUGGAAUUCCUGGUGUAGCGGUGAAAUGCGCAGAUAUCAGGAGGAACACCGAUGGCGAAGGCAGGUCUCUGGGCAUUAACUGACGCUGAGGAGCGAAAGCAUGGGGAGCGAACAGG